rnacentral:pre_miRNA from 1 species
GCUCACAAAUGUUGAACUGUGCUUAAAGUAAAUAGUCUGGAUUGAUGAAAGUUUUAUUCAAGAAUUCAUCAACAGGCAUUUACUUCAACUGCAGUUUAAACGAAAUGCAACAG